UACAGAGGGUGGCAAGCGUUAUUCGGAAUCACUGGGCGUAAAGAGUUCGUAGGCGGUUUGUUAAGUCGAAUGUGAAAGCCCUGGGCUCAAUCCAGGAAGUGCAUUCGAUACUGGCAAGCUGGAGUGCAGGAGAGGAAGGCGGAAUUCCAGGUGUAGAGGUGAAAUUCGUAGAUAUCUGGAGGAACAACAGAGGCGAAGGCGGCCUUCUGGACUGUCACUGACGCUGAGGAACGAAAGCGUGGGGAGCAAACAGG
rnacentral:rRNA from 1 species